rnacentral:rRNA from 1 species
GAUCAUGGCUCAGGAUGAACGCUAGCUACAGGCUUAACACAUGCAAGUCGAGGGGCAGCAUGAACUUAGCUUGCUAAGUUUGAUGGCGACCGGCGCACGGGUGAGUAACACGUAUCCAACCUUCCGUUUACUCAGGGAUAGCCUUUCGAAAGAAAGAUUAAUACCUGAUAGUAUGGUGAGAUUGCAUGAUAGCACCAUUAAAGAUUUAUUGGUAAACGAUGGGGAUGCGUUCCAUUAGGUAGUAGGCGGGGUAACGGCCCACCUAGCCGACGAUGGAUAGGGGUUCUGAGAGGAAGGUCCCCCACAUUGGAACUGAGACACGGUCCAAACUCCUACGGGAGGCAGCAGUGAGGAAUAUUGGUCAAUGGCCGAGAGGCUGAACCAGCCAAGUCGCGUGAAGGAAGAAGGAUCUAUGGUUUGUAAACUUCUUUUAUAGGGGAAUAAAGUGGAGGACGUGUCCUUUUUUGUAUGUACCCUAUGAAUAAGCAUCGGCUAACUCCGUG